rnacentral:rRNA from 1 species
UUUGAACGCACCUUGCGCCCCUUGGCUAUUCCGAGGGGCAUGCCUGUUUGAGUAUCAUGAACACCUCAACUCUCAUGGUUUGCCGUGAUGAGCUUGGACUUCUGGAGGUUUUGCUGGCCUUUGGUCGGCUCCUCUCAAAUGGAUCAGCUUGCCAGUGUUUGGUGGCGUCAUGGGUGUGAUAAAUAUCUACGCUUGUGGCCGUCUGCCAGGUAACCUUCAGCGAUGGAGGUUCGCUGGAGCUCACAAAGGUCUUCCUCAGCGAAGACAGCUUUUUGAACGUUCGAUCUCAAAUCAGGUAGGACUACCCGCUGAACUUAAGCAUAUCAAUAAGCGGAGG